AAAUCAUACAGAGUUCUACAUUAAUACACAGGUCUUUGGUGGCUGGAUACAACAGACUGCACUUCUUGCCUGGCAGCAUAAAGAGGUUGCACUUGGAUUCCUUGGAUUUAGCUCCUAAUUCAUUUGAAUCUUUAAAUAUGAGAAAUGCAAAUAAUCUGGGAGUUCUUAGUCUUCUGGAGUGUGCUGCAAGAAAAGUUAUCGAAUGCAGGUUAUUCUACUCCCCAGAAAUCAUUCCAAGAAGUCUAGUAUUCUAUCUAGAUAAUGCUCAUUACUGUGUUUGUGGAUCUGCUUGUUUUGAGGUGUUCUUGAGAAAACAUGUUCCUCUCCAAUUAAACCACAUAGCCAAUACUGUAAUCUUGUCUCACAAUGCUGACACCAUUGUGCCAACUGACACAUUUUUCUGUUCCCAUAAAUGUGUUAAUAUGUGAUGGAAGUUGACCAGCACUGAAAUAAUGUACUUUAAAACCCCACUUUUGUGUAAGAACUUGGCAAAACACAUUGCCCAAUAAAUCAGUAUUUUAUAUGGAAGUGAUUUUAGUGAACAAAUAUAUGUAUUGUGGUUGGACAUUAUGCUUAGAGGGCAUAUAUGUUAUUACUGUACAAAGUUCAAUGUUUGUUGACUUGCCUUCUAAGCAAAAUAAAGUAUUUUUGUGCAUAAUA